rnacentral:rRNA from 1 species
UUCGCAAUGCCCGAAAGGGUGACGAAGCGACGCCGCGUGUGGGAAGAAGGCCUUCGGGCUGUAAACCACUGUCGGGAGUUAAGAAAUACAAGGAUAUGAAUAGUGUCUUUGUUUGACUAAGGCUCCGGAGGAAGCCACGGCUAACUCUGUGCCAGCAGCCGCGGUAAUACAGAGGCGGCAAGCGUUGUUCGGAAUUAUUGGGCGUAAAGAGCACGUAGGCGGCUCUGCAAGUCAGCUGUGAAAGCCUUCUGCUUAACGGAAGAACGGCAGUUGAAACUACAGGGCUUGAGUGCGGGAGGGGAGAGUGGAACUUCUGGUGGAGCGGUGAAAUGCGUAGAUAUCAGAAGGAACGCCGGCGGCGAAAGCGGCUCUCUGGCCCGUAACUGACGCUGAGUGUGCGAAAGCUAGGGGAGCAAACGGGAUUAGAUACCCCGGUAGUCCUAGCCGUAAACGAUGGGCACUAAGUAGAGGGGUUUU